GAGAACUCCUGGGCCUGGAAGAAACAUCACGAUUCAAGUGCUGCAGCACGAAAGAAGUUGAGGCUGGAUUUGUAUUCAGCUUGACUGUUUGUAAAGCACCAUGCACCAUGCAACUGCCUUCAGUUCCUUUUUUUUUUCUUUCUUUUUUUUUUUUUUUUUUUUUGAGAUGGAGUUUCGUUCUUGUCGCCCAGGCUGGAGUGCAAUGGCACAAUCUCGGCUCACUGCAAUCUCCGCCUCCCAGGUUCAAGAGAUUCUGCUGCCUUAGCUUCCUGAGUAGCUGGGAUUGCAGGUGCCUGCCACCAAGCCUGGCUAAUUUUUGUAUUUUUAGUAGAGAUGGGGUUUUGCCAUGUUGGCCAGGCUGGUCUCAAACUCCUGACCUCAGGUACUUGGCCUCCAAAGUGCUGGGAUUACAGGCAUGAGCCACCAUGCCCAGCCUGCCUUCAGUUCUAACCACUAAAGGAUUCGUGUUCUCAACUGAGAAACAGCCAUAUGGAGGGGCUUCCUGCAAGGGCACUGAAGAUGUCAGAGAUGAUGCCUGUGGAGCACCUGGCACAGAGGAGCUGCCCUGCUGACUGCAGCACAGCCAGUUCACAGGGGUGAGCCCCGGCAUCAGCUUAGGGAGCAUCCCUUCUUGC
rnacentral:lncRNA from 1 species